UCCUGCCUCAGCUUCCCAAGGAGCUGGGAUUACAGAGACGGGGUUUCACCAUAUUGGGCAGGCUGGUCUCGAACUCCUGACCUCAAGCGAUCCACCCGCCUUGACCUCUCGAAGUUCUGGGAUUACAACUGUGAACCACUGCACCCGGCCCAUAAGUUAUUUAAAUGAUGGAAAAAUUCUAUAAAGAGAAAAUUCCACCUCCUCUACUGUUAGUGGUGAAGCUCACAUAAGAAAGGUCAAAAGAACUCAAGAGCCAAUUUGAGGACAUUCUGAUUAGCUAAAGUAUGACAAUCUGAGCAUCAGUAAGAUCAUCAAUUACAAACCAUUUUGAAAAAUCGUAUUGCUAGUGAUAAUCUUGGUAUUGCUAUUCUGAGAUAGUUGAGUUUGCAUUGUGAAAUAAAGCAAAUAUGUAUUUAUUUGAUAAUCUGAUUCUGUCAUUCUUGAGCCAGCUGAGAGUCUGUCAAGGGGAGACCCAAAACCAGAGAAACUCCUUUUCUUCUUUGUCUCAAUCACAUCAUUUUCUAGGGACACCAAUUCAUCAAGAAGCAAGAGUUUUGCUGUCAGUUCCUCCUGCAUUCAUUCUUCCUGCUGCCUUGUGAAGAAGGUGCCUUGCUUCCCCUUUGCCUUCCACCAUGAUUGUAAGUUUAACGAGGACUCCCCAGCCAUGCAGAACGGUUCACAACCUUGAAUGGCAUGUUGGCAAUAAAAAGAAGACAAUAAAAA
rnacentral:lncRNA from 1 species